CAGAGGGUGCAAACGUUGUUCGGAAUUACUGGGCGUAAAGCGCGUGUAGGCGGUUAUGCAAGUCGGGUGUGAAAGCCCAGGGCUCAACCCUGGAAGUGCAUUCGAUACUGCGUAGCUAGAGUACUGGAGAGGAAGGUGGAACUCUCGGUGUAGAGGUGAAAUUCGUAGAUAUCGAGAAGAACACCGGUGGCGAAGGCGGCCAUCUGGACAGAUACUGACGCUGAGACGCGAAAGCGUGGGGAGCAAACAGGAUUAGAUACCCUGGUAGUCCACGCCGUAAACGAUGGGUGCUAGGUGUCACGGGUAUUGACCCCUGUGGUGCCGAAGCUAACGCAUUAAGCACCCCGCCUGGGAAGUACGGCCGCAAGGCUA
rnacentral:rRNA from 1 species